rnacentral:lncRNA from 10 species
GGCGGCCCGGGCGUCCGCCGCGGGGGUGGGCGUGGCGCUGCGCGGGAGGGACCCGCAGACGGCAGAGGGUCCGCGGGGAGCGGGCGGGGCGUUGAGAGCGCGCACACAGACACCCAAAAAACACACAAACAAGCGGCCCCUGUGCCGCGGCGGAACGCGCUGUGCUCGCGGCCGUCCGGCCCGUCCGGCAGCCCCGGGUCAGCCCGGUGAACUAAGCGGACCCGGGAUGGCCGAGCCGGGGGCCGGCGUUCUGGUGGGGCUGUCUGGGAGAGGGGCCGGGGCGGCGCUGGGUGGAGAAGGGGCUCGCGGGGGAGCGCGGGGGCGCGCGGGGGCGCGCCUCGAGCCAGUACGGCAGCUCCGGGAGAGGGGAGUGCGGCGGGCGGAGAGGCCGGCAGAGGGCGGGGAGGGCAGCCCGGACCUCCCACCAGCACAGCGCGGUGCACGCGCUUCCCGCUGAGAUGCCAGGCCCUGCCGCCUCUUUGACUUGGAAAAGAAGGAAAGAGCCACGACCUCUCUCCUCUCGCAUUCCAGUGCUCCGUUUGCUCACCCUGACCGUGGCACCCGCAUAAGCCGUCUGUGUGUUCCAGAGAGGCCAGCCCUGCAUGUGCUGUCCGUGAGCGUGCUUGGACCUACGCAUAGGACCCAGCUGAGCGGGACAUUUACACGACUGCUGGGGUCGAGGGCAGAACAGGGGGAAACUGUGUUCUGGCGGAGGCACAGCACCCCGGGAGCACCCAGAGCCUGUGAGUAGAGCCAUAGGCUGUGACACUCCCUUGGCUGGUGUAUUGGCCCAACGCCACCUCCAGGAAGAACACCGGGAUGCCGCAGACAAAGAAGAAGAUGAAGUAGGGGAUGAAGAAGGCUCCUGCAGAAGAGAGAGAGGCAGGGCUGAGCCACACCCGGGCUCUUCCUCAGCCUCCAUCCUUUCAGACCCUCCUCCCCCAACAAACCCGCCCUCCACCAUCCUGUUCUUAAUCUCCCUCCUGACACUUUCCAAGGGCCCACUCCUGCCUGCGUGCAGUCCUGAGUGUUAGGCAGGCACAGGUGGGAAUGUUCUGAUCUGAACCCUACACAGAAUGAGAAAGGCCUUGGAAGGGAAAUUAGUGAAAACUUAGGUGGAAAUUCUAAUAUAUGCACUAUUUAUUUUCUUAGUGUGCUUUACAAAUCUAGUCAAUAGAUUAUUUUUGGAAUAAACACAUGGCUUCUGUAUAACUUGAUAUGCUUAUUAAACUCUUGGUACAUUUUAGAGAAAAACAAACACAAACACCUCAGAAGCAUUAUUUUCCCACUAAUAAUUUUCAGGGUGUUUGUUGCCUCCACCCAGUUCUGAUCUGAACUGGGCUCCCAGCAGAGAAGGCCAUCACGUGAUUAGGUGCCAACCUGCAGGUGCCAGAGGGAGGCCAGGCCUAACAGACAUCCAGCAGGUUACACAGGAAUGGAAUCUGAAGACCACACCCAGGAGACCCACUUCAGUAGGAGUCACUAAGGCAUAAAGCUCGAGUGAGAAGUUCAUCUCAGGGUGAAUGGAUUAUUGCGUGUUACACCAUGAGAACGCUGAGUGCUUAUUUGGUGCCUACUUCAUGUCAGGCACUCUUGUACGUACUUCAUCAACAUCACAGUCCUUGCAAAACAACCUCCCAUGGGGCAGGCUCUACUGUUAUCCCCAUUUUGCAGAUAAUAAAACUGAGGUCGCUUUAAAGACGGAAAAACCGAAGCAUGAAUGAGGAAACUGAG